rnacentral:rRNA from 1 species
GACGAACGCUGGCGGCGUGCUUCAUACAUGCAAGUCGAACGAGGUCCAACUGGUAGCAAUACCGGUGAAGACCUAGUGGCGAACGGGUGAGUAACACGUGAGGAACCUGCCCCGAAGACCGGGAUAACAGUGGGAAACCGCUGCUAAUACCGGAUACCCCCACCGGAUCGCAUGGUCUGGUGAGGAAAUGGAUUCCGCUUCGGGAGGGCCUCGCGGCCUAUCAGCUUGUUGGUGGGGUAANGGCCUACCAAGGCGACGACGGGUAGCUGGUCUGAGAGGACGAUCAGCCACACUGGGACUGAGACACGGCCCAGACUCCUACGGGAGGCAGCAGUAGGAAUCUUGCGCAAUGGGCGAAAGCCUGACGCAGCAACGCCGCGUGAGGGAUGAAUG